rnacentral:lncRNA from 1 species
ACGCAGCGGGUAGAUGGUCUCUUCUCGGAGCAACAGCCUUGGUCACCGGCGGCACCAAAGGAAUCGGGUACUAACUACUAUUGCUAUUACCGCUGCUGCACAAAGAGCGUGCAUAGAAUCUGCUAUGUUCUUUGCUGCAUGAUUGACCUAAAGAUGCACAUCGUUGACCUUUCAGGCAUGGCAUAGUGGAAGAAUUAGCGAGGCUCGGAGCAGCCGUCCAUACCUGCUCUCGGAAUGAAGCCGAUCUCAACAAAUGCUUGCAGAAAUGGGAGGCGGAGGGGUUCAAGGUCACGGGAUCCAUCUGCGAUGUCUCAUCUCCAGAUGAGAGAGAGAAGCUCAUGGAGAAAGUUAGGUCCACCUUCGACGGAAGGC